rnacentral:lncRNA from 1 species
UGAACACUGUGGCUGCUGUCUCUAUCACCAGGCGAGAGCUCCCCUUUCACACUCUGGCUUCUCCUCCUGCUCAGCUUCAGGCACUUUCCCCACCUCAUCAUACACCGACCCUCCGCCGUGUGACACCCUCGGCUCAGCCUCUUUGCCCGCGGAGGCCGCCUGCUGCUCUGCCAGGAAGACCUUCUCCAGCACCAGAGAACCGGGAAGUGAGACUGCUCCGGACGUGCCACCUCCACGCACACAGGAGCCACACGCCCACUUCAAGGUGUGCGGAGCCCACCCCUCCUCUCCCACCCUUGCCAGCCUCCACCUCAAUUAGGUGACUUUCCCAUGCUGCUCCUCCUCUUCCC